rnacentral:rRNA from 1 species
AUGCUUCCAGCUGGCCAGAAUCCUACCUGGAGAGAUUUCACUGAGGCUUUUCGCGAGCAUCACAUUCCUGAAGCCCUCAUCGAUCGCAAGAGAGAAGAGUUCUGUAGUUUCACCCAGAGUAAGAUGGCUGUUGAUGCUUAUAGUAGAGAGUUUGAGAACCUCGCUCGCUAUGCCACAGAAGAAGUGUCCACGGACGCCAAGAAGCAGGCUAGGUUCCGGAAGGGUCUCAACCCCAAGUUGCGUCGUGAUCUCCACUUGCAUCAUUGUGAUACAUUCCAAGCCCUUGUGAACAAAGCCAUCAAUGCAGAAACAGCUCAGCUCACCUACAGGAGUCUCGUAAGCACGCCCGUGAUUUGGGAUCUUCUUCCGGUUCUAGUUCUCAAAAGCGCCGGAUUUGGGUUCCAAACUCCGCUCUUCCUUCCGGAUAUACACCGAGGCCAUCCCAUGUGGUGCCACCCCUAG